GGCGGGCGCUGUGGCGCGUGCCUGUAGUCCCAGCUACUCGAGAGGCUGAGGCAGGAGGAUCGCUUGAGCCCAGGAGUUCUGGGCUCUAGUGCGCUAUGCCGGUCAGGUGUCUGCACUAAGUUUGGCAUCAAUAUGGUGACCUCCCAGGAUCAGGGGACCACCAGGUUGCCUAAGGAGGGGUGAACCAGCCCAGGUCGGAAAUGGAGCAGGUAAAAACUCCUGUGCUGAUCGGUGGUAGGAUCGCGCCUAUGAAUAGUCACUGCACUCCUGGCCUAGGCAACAUAGCGAGAUCCCGUCUCUA
rnacentral:SRP_RNA from 1 species